AAUACUCAACAGAAACUGCUCUGCACUGGCCCCACAUUAGGGGGUUCCUAUCUACGGUUUCUAAAUGUGAGCCCCUUGACACCUGCUGUGGCAGACACAACCAUCCCCAUGGAGGCGCUGAGAACAAUGAAGCACAGACAGGCCAGGGUCACCCAAAGCCGUGAUGACAGCCCGCUUUUCUCUGGUGGUUCUACUCAACCGCUCCACUGAGGUGAUGGGAGAGGUGAGGGGCCCAGGAGGAAGGUGGAGCUCAAAGGCACUGUCUUCAUAGUCCACAGGUCUCAAACUCCAGCAUCUCAGAAUGAAAGGAUUCACAAGUGCUCACAAGAGGCUUGGCUGCCAGGGGAAGCUCCGACCUGAAGAUUUGAACUAAUGAGGGACUAUAAAGGCCAAGACCUUGUUCUUGCCAUUUUAGAGAUUCAGAAUAUAAUCUACAAAGUUAGAGAUUAUAAUUGGCCUCCACUGUGUGAUUUGAUUCCAAGCUACCCAUGAAGAAACCCAGACUCAGAGGUCACUUGCCUAGGGUCACACAGUGACCUGAGAUGGGAACCACAGGUCGCCACAUAGACUUGGUCAUCAGGAGUGGGCCUGGUGAGGCCAAAGAAGGAGAUUUCAUCUGUCAAGGGAGGCUGGAACCCAUGGCCAUGACCUACCCCAAGGAGGUGGCCCAGGGCCACAGAGAAGCCUAUGGAGAGAGCAGGGGUGCCCGGGUUCUCUCCGCGGCGCUCAUCGGUGGAGGCGAAGAUGCAGAGCACCAGCUGCAGUGUCAGGAAGAGCUCCACAGUCACCGCCUGGCCAGCCGUCGUGCUGUUGCUGAGCUGGGGACAGAGAAGAGGCGGAUGAGGAAGGGCCACUUGUGCAGAGAAGGGGGCGCCCACAGAGAUUGUGCGGGACUCAUCAAAGACAUCAGGACUCUUGUCCAGUGGCUCAAGGAUGGAAAAGGCCGGGAACUACCGGAAACAAGCACAAAAGAGGCACUCACUGUCCUGGCUUAGGAUGGGGGUACAGAGGCUGUGGUGUGUCCGUGCCUGGCCUGUAAGGAGCACCUGCCACGGGACCUGCAAACCCUCAAAGCAGAAGAAAUGCUGGGCCCCUCUUCUCUCUUGAGAACCCUGUGAUGAUCACUCCAAGGCUCCCCGCAGCUUGGAAAGCAUGUCUGCUCGGGACACCAACCCCUGCUGAGGUAUAGCCCUGUCUUCACUGUAAUGUAGGCGUUGAGUCCAACAGAAACCUGGAUGAGGCUCUUCCUGCACGACGGUCAGGGUGGAAGAAGCCAGCAGUCUGUCUGCAUCCUGCUUUGCUCUGGUAUCAUUGCUCCUUUCAUCCUGACCCUCCUAUGGUGGCUGUGUUCCUGGCUCCAGCCUCUCUCUCUGCCUCUGUCUCCAUCUCUCUCCCUACAUCACCCAGAGCCCAUCCCUCCCAUCUCAUCCUUUACAAGGGAUUCCCCAGGACCUGCCCCUUGUGGAUGGCAAAGUUGUGGCUACUCACAGCAUUGACAGCCAGGUCCCCGCGGAUGUCUGCUGGCGUGAUCUCAUGGAGCAGAGCGGCUCCGGCCAC
rnacentral:lncRNA from 1 species